CAGAAUGAAGACCAGAGUGACCAGGAAGCUGGCCAGCAGGAGGACGGGCACCACAAUCACCUCCUGUUCAUAAACACGGAUCUCUGCAAGAAGUAAUGCAACGCCGCUGGGUCCGGUGAAGAGCGGCCAUUUGUGGUCAUGACUCACAGACAUCAACUGGUUCUCCUGCCCUGUCAGGUAAACAAAUGUCAGCAUCCUCUGGUUAUAUAAGCAAACAAAGCUGGGAUUGUAUCAGAGGUUAAACUUCAUAUGAAGGGCGCGACAACCUACUAACUGUUACUGUUUUCCUUUAAGAUAAAAUAAUGGCACUUGUUGUUCUUGCAGGAAAAAUUACCAGUGAAUCAAAAUUUUAAUAAUAUUCUUUUUUACUCUUUUCAUUUUUUUUUUUUAGAUAAAAUCACUUGUUUGGGUUAUUUUCUGCAUUACUCCCUCUUCAUAUUAGGUUAGUAGAAUAGGUAACGUCUGAUAUUUUCUUGGCUCAAUUUUUAGUUCAACCACUUAUGAUAAAUACAGAUUUUGAAGAGAAAGAUUGAAACGUUAAAAGUCGCAGAGAUCAAAUCCUUGAUGUUCCUGUACUUUUAUUACACUACAUUUACUCUUCUACUUUAUCACAUGUCCUUUUACUUAUAUUGUUAAUUUUCUCAUCUUAAAGAUAUUAUGUUAGUGCUGCAUUUUGUUUUAAACUAACAAAUUUACACAAACAAUAAGGCACAGCUCGCUAAUGAGCAUGCAUUUCCACUCCAGGUCUUUUAAAAAGAAAUAAGAAUUAAACAACUGACUCUGAUUUGUGUCUGUUCAUGUUAAUGACAUCACAAGAGGCAAAAGACGUAAUUAGCUAAUAGCUUUAAACAGCUUCUCUAUUGUUUUCCCCACUUAUUGUGGUCUGCUUAUCUGAAGUCGCAGAAUCUAGAAGGAGCAGUAAAGUCCCUUCAGAAAGUUCUGGUUCUGCUUCGUUGGAAGUCUUCUCUUACCAAGACUGGUCAGAAAAACCUCCGAUGAAGGAGACUCCCUCCAUAAACACUUGUCAAAGAUCGUGUCCUUCAGGCAACAAUUGACCUCAUGAUAAUAGAUGAGGGGUCAGUUCAAAGUUCGCUUCACCAACACAAACUGGAAUCCAGCGCUCCCUGCUGGAGAACACCUUUUUAAGUAAUCUAAUCUAAUGACAACUACCCCUAAUGUAAUGGGGAAAUAAAUGUGUUCAGAUUUAGGGAGAGGGUUUUCUAAAAUCUUAAAGGUUCACAGACUUUCAUCAGAUCAAGAAAAGAUUUAUUAAAGAUUUAUUAAAGUUUUUAUUAGAAACACAAACAUCAACUUUGCUCUGGUCUUUGACAAAAAGCCAUUCAUUCAUUUGAUUCCAUUAAUCCCAUCUCUCUGAAUCAAACCAAUGGACAGACUGCAACAUAAGUCACAGAGCCACGUCAACAGCAGAGCCAACAAUAAAAAUGACCUGUUAGCAUCUAAAUGUAGCGAACGCUGCUG